AUUGAACGCUGGCGGCAGGCUUAACACAUGCAAGUCGAACGGUAACAUAAGAAAAGCUUGCUUUUUUUGAUGACGAGUGGCGGACGGGUGAGUAAUGCUUGGGAAUCUGCCUUAUGGAGGGGGAUAACUACGGGAAACUGUAGCUAAUACCGCAUAAUAUCUACGGAUUAAAGUGUGGGAUCUUCGGACCACAUACCAUAAGAUGAGCCCAAGUGAGAUUAGGUAGUUGGUGAGGUAAAGGCUCACCAAGCUGACGAUCUCUAGCUGGUUUGAGAGGAUGACCAGCCACACUGGGACUGAGACACGGCCCAGACUCCUACGGGAGGCAGCAGUGGGGAAUAUUGCACAAUGGGCGCAAGCCUGAUGCAGCCAUGCCGCGUGAAUGAAGAAGGCUUUCGGGUUGUAAAGUUCUUUCAUUAGUGAGAAAGGUGCAAAUGUUAAUAGCAUUUGUAAUUGAUGUUAGCUAAAGAAGAAGCACCGGCUAACUCCGUGCCAGCAGCCGCGGUAAUACGGAGGGUGCGAGCGUUAAUCGGAAUAACUGGGCGUAAAGGGCAUGCAGGCGGUUACUUAAGUCAGAUGUGAAAGCCCCGAGCUUAACUUGGGAAUUGCAUUUGAAACUGGGUAACUAGAGUCCUGUAGGGAGGGGUAGAAUUCCACGUGUAGCGGUGAAAUGCGUAGAGAUGUGGAGGAAUACCGAAGGCGAAGGCAACCCCUUGGAGAGAGACUGACGCUCAUAUGCGAAAGCGUGGGUAGCAAACAGG
rnacentral:rRNA from 1 species